rnacentral:rRNA from 1 species
AUUGAACGCUGGCGGCAUGCCUUACACAUGCAAGUCGAACGGUAGCGGACCUUCGGGUGCCGGCGAGUGGCGAACGGGUGAGUAAUAUAUCGGAACAUACCUUUCAGUGGGGGAUAACGUAGCGAAAGUUACGCUAAUACCGCAUAUUCUGUGAGCAGGAAAGCAGGGGAUCGCAAGACCUUGCGCUGAUUGAGCGGCCGAUAUCAGAUUAGCUAGUUGGUGAGGUAAAGGCUCACCAAGGCGACGAUCUGUAGCGGGUCUGAGAGGAUGAUCCGCCACACUGGAACUGAGACACGGUCCAGACUCCUACGGGAGGCAGCAGUGGGGAAUUUUGGACAAUGGGCGCAAGCCUGAUCCAGCCAUGCCGCGUGAGUGAAGAAGGCCUUCGGUUGUAAGACUCUUCGGUCGGGAACGAAAGUACGACACAGGUUAAU